AAGACUGUAGUUUAAGAGAUCAUUUCUAUAGUUCAUUGCUAGAGAAGUUUCUCUGACUGCGUAGAGUACCAAAAAGCAUGAGGAGGAUGCACAGCAUUCUCUCCUGAGCAUGAAGUUCACUCUCGGCACUGCUUUUCUGCAACUGCUUACUGCUAUUGUUGAUCAUUCUUCUCUUUCUUUUUGAGGAGAGGAAGAGAAGAGAACACAGUCUGAGUG